rnacentral:lncRNA from 1 species
ACGGGAGAGAACGAGAAAGGAGAGCGAUGGAGCGGAGCGAUGACGAAUCUGACGGAGAUGUCAUCCAAUCUCGAAUCUCUCCAGAAGCUUCUUCUCACCAAAGCCGUCUUCGUCGACGACGACACCUUCUCCAAAGCCUCCCUCACCGCCGACCAAGCCCGCUCCAUCAAGCUUCUCCAGCAACGAGUUGAGACCUUGGAGAGAGAGGUCGACGCCGCCAUCACCGCUGCCGCUCGCGCUCGCUCCGAGAAACGACAGGCCGAGGCCGCUCAGAAAGCCGCCGAAUCGCGCGCUCA